CUUAAAGAUUAAGCCAUGCAAGUGUUAGUAUAGGUGAUUAUACAGCGAGACUGCGGAUAGCUCAUUAAAACAGUUCGAAAAGAAUCGAUGAAAAGGACAACUUGCAAAAGUUGGAAGUGGAUAUUAAAUGUAAUUCAUUUGAUAAUACAUGUGACUUGGAAAUACAAUGUGUCAAAGCAUUGUACGUAUUUAUUAUGAAAAUUAGGGAGUGCCACUGUAAUAGUAAAAUAUUAUGGCCCUAUCACGGAUAACGAAAGAUCAGGGUUUGAUUUCGGAGAGAAAGCAUGAGAGUUUGCUUUCACUUCUAAGGAAGGCAGCAGGCCCGGAAAUUAUUCAAUAUCAAUUCGAUGAAAUAGUGACGAGAAUUAUUAGAAUAGGAGAUUUUAUCUGCUAUGUCUGGAAUGAGAACAAUUUAAAACCAUUAACGAGGAACUAUUGGAGGGCAAGUCUGGUGCCAGCAUCCGCGGUAAUUCCAGCUCCAAGAGCGUAUUUGAAAAUUGUUGCUGUUAAAACGCCCGUAGUUGAAUGUAGAUAAGGUUCUUUCACUAUUGAGUGUAAAAAGCUCAGUGGAUUAUGUAAGAAAAUGUCAAAAUUUUAGAUAAAUGACAUUAACGAAAAUAUGAUCUUCUCGGAUCAAAAGAUAGUUUUUGUUUGCAGACAAAAAGUGAGUUAGAAUUGAUUAAUAAGGCGAACCCUUAUUAAGAGAAAUGAAUUAGGCUAGUGUUUGUCCUUAACUGUAAAAGGUUAAGGUUUGUUUAGAUAGGAUUCGCUUUGAAUAAAUUAGAGUGCUCAGAGCAAGCGAUUAUCGCUUGAAUAUAUUAGCAUGGUACGACGAAAUUUGAUAAAUCUGAAUUUUUGGUACAACUACAGUAACGAGCUUAAUUUUGAGAUGGAUAAUAGGAGUGUUAAAGCUUUUAUUAUUCGUGAAGUCUCUUUAUUAAGAAACGAUUGUAGCGAGUGCAGAUUUAUAAUGAUUAAAAGGGGCAAAUGGGGUAAUUCAUAUUGACUGGGUAGAGGUGAAAUUCUAUGAUCCAGUCAAGAUGCACUAAUGCGAAAGCAUUUUACCAAAAUGUUUUCUUUAAUCAAGGACGAAGGUUGUGGGCGCGAAGAUGAUUAGAUACCGUUGUAGUCACAACAGUAAACGAUGUUGAUUUAGGAUUGUGAAAAGUUAAUAUUAUGACUUUUACAGCACUAUGUGAGAAAUCAAAAUAUUUAAACUCAGGGGGAAGUAUGGACGCAAGUCUGAAACUUAAAGGAAUUGACGG
rnacentral:rRNA from 1 species